UAAGGCGUGAAAGCGUGGGGAGCAAACAGGAUUAGAUACCCUGGUAGUCCACGCCGUAAACGAUGAACACUAGUGGUCGGGAUGCUAGUCAUCUCGGUGAUGCACUUAACAGAUUAAGUGUUCCGCCUGGGGAGUACGGUCGCAAGAUUCAAACUCAAAGGAAUAGACGGGGACCCGCACAAGUGGUGGAGCAUGUGGUUUAAUUCGAAGAUACGCGAAAAACCUUCCCUAGCCUUGACAGUGAUAGAAUGCCCUAGAGAUAGAGUAGUGCCCUUCGGGGAACUUGAAAACAGGUGCUGCACGGCUGUCGUCAGCUCGUGUCGUGAGAUGUUGGGUUAAGUCCCGCAACGAGCGCAACCCUCGUCUUUAGUUGCCAGCAGUUCGGCUGGGCACUCUAAAGAGACUGCCUUCACAAGAAGGAGGAAGGUGAGGACGACGCCAAGUCAUCAUGGCCCUUAUGGCCAGGGCUACACACGUGCUACAACGGGGCGUACAGAGAGUUGCGAUCCCGCGAGGUGGAGCCAAUCUCACAAAGCGUCUCUCAGUUCGGACUGAAGUCUGCAACUCGACUUCAUGAAGCUGGAAUCACUAGUAAUCGUAGAUCAGCAUUGAGACGGUGAAUACGUUCCCGGGUC
rnacentral:rRNA from 1 species